GGGUCUAAUACCGGAUAUGACCAUGACUCGCAUGAGUGAUGGUGGAAAGUUUUUUCGGUUGGGGAUGGGCUCGCGGCCUAUCAGUUUGUUGGUGAGGUAAUGGCUCACCAAGACGACGACGGGUAGCCGGCCUGAGAGGGCGACCGGCCACACUGGGACUGAGACACGGCCCAGACUCCUACGGGAGGCAGCAGUGGGGAAUAUUGCACAAUGGGGGAAACCCUGAUGCAGCGACGCAGCGUGCGGGAUGACGGCCUUCGGGUUGUAAACCGCUUUCAGCAGGGAAGAAGCCUUUCGGGGUGACGGUACCUGCAGAAGAAGUACCGGCUAACUACGUGCCAGCAGCCGCGGUAAUACGUAGGGUACAAGCGUUGUUCGGAAUUAUUGGGCGUAAAGAGCUCGUAGGUGGUUGGUCACGUCUGCUGUGGAACGCACGCUAACGUUGCGCGUGCAGUGGGUACGGCUGACUAGAGUGCAGUAGGGGAGUCUGGAUUCCUGGUGUAGCGG
rnacentral:rRNA from 1 species